AAGUAAAGCUGCAGCGUUUAUGAGCACAACAGGUGAAAUAUGAUUCUUUUAAAAAUGUCUACACCUUUUUUGCCAUCUGUCACAGAUGCUUUCUCAGUGGAGCACACAGUGUCCAUCUGAAAGUGUGUGUGUUGAGAUGAUGGCUGCUGUCUGGAGCAGAACAGAAGUAAUCACAUGGAGCUUUUCUGCUCACAGAGCUUCAGUCUGGCUUGUCUUGAAUUCUCUUUUUCUUUCUCUCUUCAAUCAUGCACUAGAAUGAGGUCUCUUCUUUCACGAGAGGCUGACCACACUGAUGAGGUCUGAUAGGAGAGAUCCCCCGUGAGCUGAACCAAGAACUAUCCCACCGUGCCUGCAGCAUUGAUGGAGAUCAUAGAUCAGUGUCCCAAGGUACCACAGUGUAAGCUCAUUGGGAUUGGAUUCAUUUGAUGGGUCAAACACAAGUUUAAGCUAUGAUUAUUCACCAAUAUAUAAAAGAUCGAGAUGUACAAAACAGUUCUACGCUGAGCCCUGCUCAGCCCUCCAGCGGCAGUCCUCUCUUGGAGCAGGGUGUCUCAGCUCACCGGGG